AAGUCGUAACAAGGUUUCCGUAGGUGAACCUGCGGAAGGAUCAUUAUUGAAUUCCAACUGGGUGAGAUUGCUGCUGGCUUUCGGGCAUGUGCACGUCUCAUUCAUUUACCUCUCACCUCUGUGCACUUUUCACAGGACAGCUAGUGGCUGUGGACUUCAUUGGCCAUGGCUGCAGGUUGCCUUGUGUACUUUACAAACUCAAAAAUAAGUUUAGAAUGUCUAUUGUGUAUCCACACAUUUAAAUACAACUUUCAGCAACGGAUCUCUUGGCUCUC
rnacentral:misc_RNA from 1 species